rnacentral:tRNA from 1 species
GCGCGCAUAGCUCAGCUGGUAGAGCAGUUGCCUCUUAAGCAAACGGUCCCAGGUUCGAGCCCUGGUGCGCGCA